GGGUAUUUAUCUUCGGAUAGAGAGACCGGCGCACGGGUGCGUAACGCGUAUGCAAUCUACCUUUUACAGAGGGAUAGCCCAGAGAAAUUUGGAUUAAUACCUCAUAGUAUGUGAGAAUGGCAUCAUUUUCACAUUAAAGUCACAACGGUAAAAGAUGAGCAUGCGUCCCAUUAGCUAGUUGGUAAGGUAACGGCUUACCAAGGCUACGAUGGGUAGGGGUCCUGAGAGGGAGAUCCCCCACACUGGUACUGAGACACGGACCAGACUCCUACGGGAGGCAGCAGUGAGGAAUAUUGGACAAUGGGCGCAAGCCUGAUCCAGCCAUGCCGCGUGCAGGAUGACGGUCCUAUGGAUUGUAAACUGCUUUUGCACAGGAAGAAACAACGCUACGUGUAGCGUCUUGACGGUACUGUGAGAAUAAGGAUCGGCUAACUCCGUGCCAGCAGCCGCGGUAAUACGGAGGAUCCAAGCGUUAUCCGGAAUCAUUGGGUUUAAAGGGUCCGUAGGCGGUUUAGUAAGUCAGUGGUGAAAGCCCAUCGCUCAACGGUGGAACGGCCAUUGAUACUGCUAGACUUGAAUUAUUAGGAAGUAACUAGAAUAUGUAGUGUAGCGGUGAAAUGCUUAGAGAUUACAUGGAAUACCAAUUGCGAAGGCAGGUUACUACUAAUGGAUUGACGCUGAUGGACGAAAGCGUGGGUAGCGAAC
rnacentral:rRNA from 1 species